GAUGAACGCUGGCGGCGUGCCUAAUACAUGCAAGUCGAGCGAACAGACGAGGAGCUUGCUCCUCUGACGUUAGCGGCGGACGGGUGAGUAACACGUGGAUAACCUACCUAUAAGACUGGGAUAACUUCGGGAAACCGGAGCUAAUACCGGAUAAUAUAUUGAACCGCAUGGUUCAAUAGUGAAAGACGGUUUUGCUGUCACUUAUAGAUGGAUCCGCGCCGCAUUAGCUAGUUGGUAAGGUAACGGCUUACCAAGGCAAUGAUGCGUAUCCGACCUGAGAGGGUGAUCGGCCACACUGGAACUGAGACACGGUCCAGACUCCUACGGGAGGCAGCAGUAGGGAAUCUUCCGCAAUGGGCGAAAGCCUGACGGAGCAACGCCGCGUGAGUGAUGAAGGUCUUCGGAUCGUAAAACUCUGUUAUUAGGGAAGAACAAAUGUGUAAGUAACUAUGCACGUCUUGACGGUACCUAAUCAGAAAGCCACGGCUAACUACGUG
rnacentral:rRNA from 1 species